rnacentral:tRNA from 1 species
GCGAAAGUGGCGAAAUUGGCAGACGCGCUAGACUUAGGAUCUAGUGGAGAGAUCCGUGGGGGUUCGAGUCCCCCUUUUCGCA